rnacentral:rRNA from 1 species
CCUACGGGAGGCAGCAGUGGGGAAUAUUGGACAAUGGGCGAAAGCCUGAUCCAGCCAUGCCGCGUGUGUGAAGAAGGCCUUCGGGUUGUAAAGCACUUUCAGUGGGGAAGAAAGCCUUGGGGCUAAUACCCUCGAGGAAGGACAUCACCCACAGAAGAAGCACCGGCUAACUCCGUGCCAGCAGCCGCGGUAAUACGGAGGGUGCGAGCGUUAAUCGGAAUUACUGGGCGUAAAGCGCGCGUAGGCGGUCUGAUAAGCCGGUUGUGAAAGCCCCGGGCUCAACCUGGGAACGGCAUCCGGAACUGUCAGGCUAGAGUGCAGGAGAGGAAGGUAGAAUUCCCGGUGUAGCGGUGAAAUGCGUAGAGAUCGGGAGGAAUACCAGUGGCGAAGGCGGCCUUCUGGACUGACACUGACGCUGAGGUACGAAAGCGUGGGUAGCAAACAGGAUUAGAUACCCCAGUAGUC